AGGUGGGGGCUGGCCUGCCUCAAGCGCCUUUCCUGGGGGAAGAGACCGACACUCGCCUUUCACCGGAGCUCUGCAGAAGUUGAGGGCUGCUGGGAGGCAGCAGAGGCUCCUCGGAGGGCAGGUAGAAGGUGCUUAUGGGCGGCUCCAUGUGGGGUUGAGUAGACUGGCCUGGGUUCCUGCCUCAGAGGCGGGCUGAAAUGGGCGAAACUGGGGUGUUGCUGUCGGGGUGCUGCUCUUCUGGGGUAAGAUCUAGGGUGGCUGAACCCACGUGUUCCUGCAACAAGUCCUUGAGACAGCUCAGUAAGAUGCGACUUGCAUUUCCCUUUUAUUGGAGACACUACAGUAGCUACGACUGUUGGGCCGCGGGGUGGACUCCCGUCCUGUGGGGUGUUCGACGUGUGCUGGCUCGCUGGUCCCGCGCGCGCUGUGGACGUGUUUGUGUGUGGGCUGGUUGUAGCCUGGUGUGAGCUCCACGCAGCCGACUCGCUUCACAGGUCCGGCUUGAAACCGCUCUGAUAGCCCAAGAUGAAGGGCUCUGACAUGACCCACUGAUUCAUUAAAAAACAUAGCAAUAUAUGGGAUCAUACCGACUCCUUAAAUCAAAUGGCCUUCCUGAAUAAAAAGCUGAUUACCCCCAGUAGCAGGCUGAGAAUAAGACUCCUGCAUAGCAACUUGCAGUUGAAAACACUUAUUCAUCUUGCUUGAAUUUAACAAUGAACAGCACUUCAUACUAUAGGAUGCAGCAGCUGUCAUUUGAGUUCCUAAUUGCUUCAUUCACAUAGACUACUUUACCCAGGAAGACUACAUUUUCUAUGAUGCAAUGCAAGUGUUCAUCUGGGAAAUGCAUAGUUGGGAGAUGGCUCCAUCAGGGAAAUCAGUGAAAGAAUGUCAAGUGUGUCAGAUGUAAGAUAAAAGAAGUAGAAAUAACAUUGUUGACUUGAAACUUGAUAUCUACUUUUUGUUUUCACCAAAACCUGAGACUACACCAAUAGUUUAUUCUUUUAACAGGUGUUUAAAGAGCUUUGUAGAAACUGUUUUCCAUUAAAACUGGAUGGAAAAUUCAGUGAACUGUAUAAGAUUUGCAAACUGUUUUUUUUAAAAAAGAUCAACAGAAAACCUGAAUAUUGUUUAAAAUAUGCAAGUAUUUGCUUCUUUACAUACUGCUAAGCUCAUAGACAGUAUCAUUGAUUUGUCAUUUAAUAGGUAAUCUUUUUACAUCUAGGCAAAGAACUUUUUCUGCUGUCAGUUGCUUAUAUUAAGAAAAUGGCUAAUGGUUUUUAAUCAAGGAGUUUAAAUUGCAGACUACAUACAGGGACUCAACUGUGUUCUGCAGAGUUUAUUUUCUGUAUAUGCUAUAAGGUGUUUUUUCUUUGGGAUCAUGAGCUCUACCUUCUGAACAGGAAAUGAGUAUAAACUGAUGUUUGUGCUUCUGGAUAUAGACAGUACAAAACAGUUACUCUUGAGGUACCAGUUUUGUAAGUUCACAGAUACCUUGCUUGAGAUAUUAACUUGCAUUUUCAUCAUUUUAGGUAUAUACUUUAGAAGUGAUCUACUGGAUUUAUAACUUAAUUCCUACUAAAUUUUGGAGGUAUUUGGGAGCCUGAAUGCUACAGACAAGAGAUAAGGAUGAAGCACUUUAUUUUACUAUUAAUAUGGUAUUGAUUUCAGUAUUUCUGAGAGCAGAUGAAUGGAAUAUAUAGCAAGUAAAAAGGAAGAAAUUAAUGAUUGCAUGUGUACAAGAGCAGAGGAAAUUUAUAUUUAAUUUUCACCCCAUCACUCUCUGUUAAUAAUUGUUCACAUCCUGAAGUUUUUUUUCUUCUAUGUUAUUCUACCACUAUUUCUGUUUUAAACAAGUGUCUAGUAAGUCAGUAAAAAUGCUCUUCUAAAUUGGGUAAUGGCUUUUCUUUACCAGGUCUUAACCAGCUGCUGAAAUAAAAAUAACACACUAAUGCCACUGGAAAAAUUCUUCCUGUCAUAAUAAAGAAGCUUUAUAGUGAAAA